rnacentral:rRNA from 1 species
CACCGCGGUUAGACGAGAGGCCCCAGUUAAUGGUAUUACGGCGUAGAGGGUGGUUAAGGAAAAUAAAUCAAAUAAAGCCAAAUGGCCCCUUGGCCGUCAUACGCUUCUAGGUGUCCGAAGCCCAACCACACGAAAGUGGCUUUAAUAAAGUCAACCUGACCCCACGAAAGCUGAGAAA